CGUUUAGUGUCCGAAUUUAUGGUGUAAGUCUUUUAAAUUUAUUAUAGUUAAUACUCUAAACGU
rnacentral:tRNA from 1 species